rnacentral:lncRNA from 1 species
GAGAAAAGCUUGACAGUUCUGAUGACAUUGCAAUUCAAACUGCAUGGGGUUACACAUACUGGAAACCACCAAUGUCCCUGCCUAGGAUGAUUUGUUGGUCUGACAACAUUCCUUAUACAAAUUCACAUGAGAGUAAGGGUUUUCCAUGAAAAAGUCACAACACACCUUCACAUGUGUUGUUCCUUUUUCUUUUCUUUUGCAGUAGAUCGUGAAUUUAAAUUGAUAAGUUUACAAUUAGAGUUUAUGUUACAUAUUGCACUAAAGUCCAACAUUAAAAGACACUGCCAGACGUAUCCGAUGUUUCAGAAGCAGAUAUGGCGUGUGAAACAUAAUGUAAGUCCAAAAUACUAACCUACCACUUUGAUUCACUAUGAAUGUAAACAGGUAUCUAUUAUCAAAGCAUUUUUUCAGCAACAUAUAAAUUCUUAUUCUUCCAGAGAACUGAUUAUCAUCAUCAGUUGGUAGAUCAUGGCCACUUUCAGCACUCCCUUCACCCAGCUGUUAUACAACAUUGUCCGAGGAAAGCGCUAGAAAAGCUUUUCUAGCUUCUCUGUGAGUAUCUUCAUCAAAAGACAAUACGAUAAGUGUUAUUUCAGCACAGGGUUGACACAACAGAAUAUCAUUUAUUAGGUGAUAGUCAGAAAAUAACAUAAUCUGGGGAAAAGCUUUUUAGAUAAUUGUAGUUAAUAAUUCAUAGACGCCGUAAAAAAAGCUUCCAGUGUUUCUCAAGUUUUAUUCAUUUUCUAACAAUAUGCCAGUAUUAUUGCCUACUUCGGUCAGUGUGCAUGAUGUCUGACACAUUGGUUAAUGAUUCAAUGCAGAUAAUGGGAACAAACUUAUGUUGAAUCAAAUUCACCAAAGCACGCCGUAUAAAUUCAGAAAAAUCCAUAAAAGAGAAAAAAAUCUACUGUAUUCUAGGAGACUGAAUGUACUAAUUAUUACAUACUCCACCAUUCCAUGGAAGGCACGUCACUCGCUUAAGGGCGCUGAGCCACAGAAAUGAUGUCCCGUGACUCGGAGUAAUUAUAGAAGCAUCGAUAAAAAAAUGGUCCCCCAUUUUAUGCUUAUGCAUCUCCUUCGUAAGGAUGUCUAAUUACUGAUACAUUGAAAUAAAUGAGUCCACAUGAUAAAGAGGAAAACUUUUUUCAGGCAGGAAACAGAAUUAUUAAUAACUAGAAAAACAUGUUAAAAUCAGGACAAGAUGCCAUCAAUCAAGGAUUAGAACCAAAAGUAAAGAAGAAACACUAAUAAGGAUUUUUUUUUUUUUUUUCAAGCUAAGGGAUAAAAUCUCUUUAGUCUUUCCUGUAUCAUCCUGCGGUUCAAUUAUCUCCAAGUCUCAAGCUUUUAUCCUCAAUUCCCAAUGCCUUACCAACAGCUGAAAUUUACUUUUAACGGACAAACUCAGAAAGAAAAACAACAAGUGUAUGGUACCUCGGCCCUUGAUCUGAUAUUUUGAUCAGAUAAAAAAAUCAGGUCAAGGGCCCCUAUUGCGACACCUCGACCCCUGUCUCCAGCCCUGUUGCUGUAGCGGGAUUGCAAAUGGAUAAUGGCAUGCAAUAAAAUAUAUAUUGCCUCUCUCUCUCUCUCCCCAUCAGUGAUUGUGUAAUGUGUGUGUAUUUAUAGAAUGGAACAGUUAAAAUUUUUUGUCGUCUAGCAGAACUCCAGGAACUUGGUGUGAAAGCAUUAAUAAUUCUUGUAAUAAGAAUUGAAAUAAGAAAUAUGUUGGAACUUCC